GGGGAUAUAGCUCACUUAGUACAGUGCUUGCUUUGCAAGCAUGAGGACCUGUGUUCAAUCCCCAGCACCACCA
rnacentral:tRNA from 1 species